rnacentral:rRNA from 1 species
AUUGAACGCUGGCGGCAGGCCUAACACAUGCAAGUCGAGCGGAUGAAGGGAGCUUGCUCCUGGAUUCAGCGGCGGACGGGUGAGUAAUGCCUAGGAAUCUGCCUGGUAGUGGGGGAUAACGUCCGGAAACGGGCGCUAAUACCGCAUACGUCCUGAGGGAGAAAGUGUGGGAUCUUCGGACCUUACGCUAUCAGAUGAUCCUAGGUCGGAUUGGCUAGUUGGUGGGGUAAAGGCCUACCAAGGCGACGAUCCGUAACUGGUCUGAGAGGAUGAUCAGUCACACUGGAACUGAGACACGGUCCAGACUCCUACGGGAGGCAGCAGUGGGGAAUAUUGGACAAUGGGCGAAAGCCUGAUCCAGCCAUGCCGCGUGUGUGAAGAAGGUCUUCGGAUUGUAAAGCACUUUAAGUUGGGAGGAAGGGCAGUAAGUUAAUACCUUGCUGUUUUGACGUUACCAACAGAAUAAGCACCGGCUAACUUCGUG